rnacentral:rRNA from 1 species
UAAGCCUGUGAAGGUGGCCUGUGAGGGUUGCUGGAGGUAUCAGAAGUGCGAAUGCUGACAUAAGUAACGAUAAAGCGGGUGAAAAGCCCGCUCGCCGGAAGACCAAGGGUUCCUGUCCAACGUUAAUCGGGGCAGGGUGAGUCGACCCCUAAGGCGAGGCCGAAAGGCGUAGUCGAUGGGAAACGGGUUAAUAUUCCCGUACUUGGUGUUACUGCGAAGGGGGGACGGAGAAGGCUAUGUUGGCCGGGCGACGGUUGUCCCGGUUUAAGCGUGUAGGUGUGUGUUCCAGGUAAAUCCGGUUCACUUUAACACUGAGGCGUGAUGACGAGGCACUACGGUGCUGAAGCAACAAAUGCCCUGCUUCCAGGAAAAGCCUCUAAGCAUCAGGUAACAUCAAAUCGUACCCCAAACCGACACAGGUGGUCAGGUAGAGAAUACCAAGGCGCUUGAGAGAACUCGGGUGAAGGAACUAGGCAAAAUGGUGCCGUAACUUCGGGAGAAGGCACGCUGACACGUAGGUGAAGUGAUUUACUCACGGAGCUGAAGUCAGUCGAAGAUACCAGCUGGCUGCAACUGUUUAUUAAAAACACAGCACUGUGCAAACACGAAAGUGGACGUAUACGGUGUGACGCCUGCCCGGUGCCGGAAGGUUAAUUGAUGGGGUCAGCGCAAGCGAAGCUCCUGAUCGAAGCCCCGGUAAACGGCGGCCGUAACUAUAACGGUCCUAAGGUAGCGAAAUUCCUUGUCGGGUAAGUUCCGACCUGCACGAAUGGCGUAAUGAUGGCCAGGCUGUCUCCACCCGAGACUCAGUGAAAUUGAACUCGCUGUGAAGAUGCAGUGUACCCGCGGCAAGACGGAAAGACCCCGUGAACCUUUACUAUAGCUUGACACUGAACAUUGAGCCUUGAUGUGUAGGAUAGGUGGGAGGCUUUGAAGUGUGGACGCCAGUCUGCAUGGAGCCGACCUUGAAAUACCACCCUUUAAUGUUUGAUGUUCUAACGUGGACCCGUGAUCCGGGUUGCGGACAGUGUCUGGUGGGUAGUUUGACUGGGGCGGUCUCCUCCUAAAGAGUAACGGAGGAGCACGAAGGUUGGCUAAUCCUGGUCGGACAUCAGGAGGUUAGUGCAAUGGCAUAAGCCAGCUUGACUGCGAGCGUGACGGCGCGAGCAGGUGCGAAAGCAGGUCAUAGUGAUCCGGUGGUUCUGAAUGGAAGGGCCAUCGCUCAACGGAUAAAAGGUACUCCGGGGAUAACAGGCUGAUACCGCCCAAGAGUUCAUAUCGACGGCGGUGUUUGGCACCUCGAUGUCGGCUCAUCACAUCCUGGGGCUGAAGUAGGUCCCAAGGGUAUGGCUGUUCGCCAUUUAAAGUGGUACGCGAGCUGGGUUUAGAACGUCGUGAGACAGUUCGGUCCCUAUCUGCCGUGGGCGCUGGAGAACUGAGGGGGGCUGCUCCUAGUACGAGAGGACCGGAGUGGACGCAUCACUGGUGUUCGGGUUGUCAUGCCAAUGGCACUGCCCGGUAGCUAAAUGCGGAAGAGAUAAGUGCUGAAAGCAUCUAAGCACGAAACUUGCCCCGAGAUGAGUUCUCCCUGAGACUUAGAGUCUCCUGAAGGAACGUUGAAGACGACGACGUUGAUAGGCCGGGUGUGUAAGCGCAGCGAUGCGUUGAGCUAACCGGUACUAAUGAACCGUGAGGCUUAACCUUACAACGCCG